rnacentral:tRNA from 1 species
GCGAGCGUAGCUCAGUUGGUUAGAGCACCUGAUUGUGGUUCAGGGGGUCGGGAGUUCGAAUCUCCUCGCCCGCCCCA